rnacentral:tRNA from 1 species
UCAGCUUUGGCGCAGUAGGUAGAGCAUCGGUCUUGCAAGCUGAAAAUCCCAGUUUGAUCCUGGGAAGGAGGG